rnacentral:lncRNA from 1 species
CAAAACCAAGCAACUUCAAGCCUCAAAUGGAAAAACCUCCAACAUUAAUGUUGUAUAUAUUUUUAAGGUGAUCAUUGUAGACUUAAAUUUUACAUCAUUUGGACUUUUAAUGAGAAAGUUAUGGGCACUUGAAGUUGGACAUUUUUCGAAUGCAAUGGUUUUGGUCGAAAGUGACCUAUAAUGUUUUGUAUUAUCACAUGUGUUUAUUUUAGGAUUAUGAAAU